rnacentral:lncRNA from 1 species
GAAUAAGUUACAGUGAGGCUCCUGUCCUUUUCAUGUAUUAUUCUUUAAUGUAGGUGGUGAUUAUUUGGCUGUGAUUAAUUGAUGAAGCCCAUUGGUCUGGCAAGUGGUGCCGAAUUCACCAUUCCUCACUUUUAUUUCUCUCAGUAGGGUUCUGCCACUUAAUCGGAAGGACCUGCUUCCUUCCAGGCAAUCUCUCUGUGCAGCGUUCUGGGGCAGAGGGACUGUUCUGGGUGACCCACCUAGACCCUUUCACAGCUCUUGGCUCCCUGGUCAGCAGUGGGUUUUGCAUCCUGUCUUCUUGGACAAGCCCUGUGCCCUGUGCCCCCUGGCCAGGCAUGUCUGAAAUGCAGUGGCACCCCCUAUACAAAGGCUUCCUGUUGCUCCCCUUUUCUCUCAUAUCUGAUUUUCGAGCCUUGCUUUCUGGUACCUUUAACACCUGUAGCUCCCUGCCUGGCUCAGUUUACUUCUGGGUUCAGCUGCCUGCCAAGACGCCAGGUGACAAUCGGGGCUCUCCAAGGCCGCUCCUGCCAUUGUCUCCAGCUGUGGGGCCCAAGAAACCACACACGUGAGAUGCACAGUCUGAUAUGGCCGGCUCUGCCCCUCUGGGUUUUAUAUCUUUUCAAAGUGAUUCAUUGAAAGCUGUGGCUGUUGUCAGCUGGGUGCUGGGAGCACUGAACAAAUUCCCUGCCUAGGUUGUGUAGACAACGUGGGGAAUGGGAGACCCUUGGGAUCCUGAUGGUCUCGCCAGGCCUACUGAGACAAGUGUCCAGUGCCAUCGGACCUGUGCUCAUGCAGUUACUUACUACCAUGUGAAUCUGACCAUCAAAAUUCUUCCUACAUUUCAAUUCCCCCAACUCUAAAAUGAGGAGGUUGGGCUUGAUACCAUCUCAGAACUCUUCCAGCUAUAAACUGCAAACCAAUCAGAGACCUGAUUGAUAAAUGCUACACGUGUACAUCUCAUUGAGCUCAAGGACAGAGCUUCCCCUCUCCUCACUGUCUGCAGUGCCUGGUCCAGGCAGGACCUGCCAUCAAGUCAAUGCUGAAAAUGUUGGCCACACAAAAACAUCUGCACCGUCGGAAGGAACAGAAGCUCCAGAACAAUGCCUGGGCUUCAAGAUCCAAUGGAACUUUGUCAGUUGAACGCCAGUCUUGAAUCCAGGUCUUCUUGCUUCCAAAUGUGGUCCUCUGCUGUCUCAUCAGCCUCUUGGGGCCUCACGCUGGGCUCCAGUUCGGGGUGUGAGGAGACGCCAAAUGCUUCUCAGAAUGGCCUAUCUGGGAUCUCGCCCAGUGCCUUUCUCCCUCCUCUUGCUAUUUUUCGUGUCUUUUCUCUUCCCCCUCUCCCUGUGUCGGGCGUGUUUACUUGCAGCAGCCAGAAAGACCACCUUCCACCCGCCCUCUCUUCGGUUCAGCUGCACCUCUCUACUCCAAUAAACCGUUUGCAUUCCA